UCCGGCUUAUCACCGGCAGUCCCUCUAGAGUGCCCAACUAAAUGAUGGCAACUAAAGGCGAGGGUUGCGCUCGUUGCGGGACUUAACCCAACAUCUCACGACACGAGCUGACGACAGCCAUGCAGCACCUGUGUUCGGUCCAGCCGAACUGAAGGACUCCAUCUCUGGUGUCCGCGACCGACAUGUCAAGGGUUGGUAAGGUUCUUCGCGUUGCAUCAAAUUAAACCACAUACUCCACCGCUUGUGCGGGCCCCCGUCAAUUCCUUUGAGUUUCAGUCUUGCGACCGUACUCCCCAGGCGGCGAACUUAACGCGUUAGCUACGUUACCAAGUCAGUAAUGACCCAACAACUAGUUGACAUCGUUUAGGGCGUGGACUAC
rnacentral:misc_RNA from 1 species